AACGAACGUUAGCGGCGCGCUUAACACAUGCAAGUCGAGCGAGAAAGGGGCAACCCCGGUAAAGCGGCGCACGGGUGAGUAACACGUAGGUAAUCUACCCUCGGGUGGAGGAUAACUUUCCGAAAGGAAGGCUAAUACUGCAUGAGACCACGACCUCGAAAGGGGAUGGGGUCAAAGCCGGCCUCUGUACACAAGCUGGCGCCUGAGGAUGAGCCUGCGGCCCAUCAGCUAGUUGGUAGGGUAAUGGCCUACCAAGGCGAAGACGGGUAGCUGGUCUGAGAGGAUGAUCAGCCACACUGGAACUGAGACACGGUCCAGACUCCUACGGGAGGCAGCAGUAGGGAAUCUUGCGCAAUGGGCGAAAGCCUGACGCAGCGACGCCGCGUGAGUGAUG
rnacentral:rRNA from 1 species